ensembl:lncRNA
AUGUAUUUUCCUUGUUCUGUUGUUUGCUGCUUUAAAGAUCUUCUUGGAUCAGAAAUGGGCGAUUCCUUGCUAUCUGAACCCACCCUCACAGCAGAGCCCGCCCCCUCCUCUGCAGCAGCAACGCCCACUCCUGCAGCCGCAGAACCUGGAGUCUCUCUAGCUCCUCCCACUAGCACAGCAGCCGCCACCUCCCCUGGCGCCACCAAUAUGGAUCUGUUGGGAGAUGCCUUUGCAACAUCUGCUCCUUCCACUGAGGCCUCUGCAGCAGCUGCUGAAGGUGGGGCCGCCGCCACGUCCGCCCCCGCCGCCAACGCUGGAGCUGAGUCCACAGGAGGAGAUGCCACAGCUGCUGCUGCUCCUGCUGCCCCCGGUGCUGAGCUCAUGUCAGGCGAUGUAAUGAAGCCCACUUUGACCCCUCAGGCAGGGGAUGUUGACACCUCCAUGGCUAACAUGGCAAGUAAUCUCACAAUGGGAAACCCAGCGGCACCUCAGCCUGGGGCACCAGGAGCUCCCAUGAUGCCCAUGGUGAGGCCAGGCUUCCCUGCCACUGGAGCAACCCCCGGAGCACCGAUGUCUCCCGGAGCAGCCCAGAGCCCCAGAAAGCCUGCACCACCGAGGAAUGCUCUGGAUGACCUCAACAUUAAGGACUUCAUGUAGACUGGCUGACCUGUAAAACCCCCCAAGGUUUGUCAGUGUGUCUGGAGCUCUGUGGAUGUGGAUGUCUGCACUUCCCCCACUGCCUUCCCCUCAGUCAUGCCCCAGCCCCUUCAGCCAACCAGCCAUUACAUCCACGAUCUUUGCCCUCUGACCUCCUACCAGCCGCCACCCCUAAAAAAAGCCCUGUCCUCCUUAUCUAAUGUUGUAGCACAACUGUGAAUGUGAACCCUAGAUACAGAAAAACAAAACUCAGUUUAUGUGUGUGUGGGUGUGUGUGUAAUUCAGUGUUAUCCUUUACUUAAUAUACUAUGGAAAAUGAACAAAAAAAUAAAUAAAUGUGUAUUCAGAUUCAUUCUGGAUUUUCACGUAUCAGCUGACUUGGAAUGGUGGAUAAACGUUGGUUUCUUGACGCAUCUCCCAGACGAGGACUGUGUUGUUAAAUGUGGAUUGUGUUCGGUGUGUGUAACUUCACUGGCCAACCCCCACCUCCACCCCUCUGCCCCCGUUGUCCAAACUAAUACUGAGCUAUGUUUAUGUCAUUAAAAAACUUGGUUGUACCUAUAUCUGCUUGGCCAUCCAUCCUCCCACCUGUCUACUUUCAAGUUUUUGGAGAACAAAUGCACCUGGUAACAAUUUGCACUGCAAAUCUGGACUUAUCAUCAAACAUGAAAUUGUGUUCAGUUUAAUUUUUUUAGGGACUGUAUAAAACAUGCAAAAAUUUGUGAACUGUGUUCAAAUUGACAUAUGCAUUCUAGACUAUUUUAAAUAAUGGAUUAUACAUAUUUUCUUUAAUCUUUAUUUUGAGAAAAAAAAUGUAUCAUAUAUUUUUAGUCAAAUUGUAUGGUUAAAAAUAAGGAAAGUAGACAAAAAAAAUCCCCGCCUUCUUUGUACAUACCCCUCAAUCUGAAAUCAGAGGCAGUAUUGAAUGGAAACUUUGCCCUGGGAGUUUGCUGUUGGGCCCUCAGCUGGUGUGGAGUGAUACUGCAUCGUAGCAUGCGACACAUGUCAAUCUGGGAAUACUUAUUUCCUUGUCUCGGUCUCCACACAAGAUGACUUAAUGUUAGGGUGGAAAUCAAAGGACAAGGAAGCAUUUGUGUAUGUGGUUGGGAUGUGGCCUCAGUCCUCUUUGAGUGACGCAGCAGCGGUCAGUACAUUUGUUCAUGUACUGCCACUGGAAGUCCUGAGGACUCUCACUGUAAAGCACUCAAGUAUACGCUGGAUGUUCUGUGUGUUUAUUUCCAAAAGUGACUGUAUCUUAAUCCAUUGUGGCAUUAACAAAGUGUUGAAAGAAAAAUAAAGACGACGCAUAAAAAACAACAAUAAUGUGGAUAAAUAAUGUUUGCUAAGUAUUCAAAUGAAGGCUGUGUUGUUUUUUUGGGGGGUUAUUAUGGAUGGCAUCGUUCUUUCUCCCUCACCCCCACCUGCAUGUGAGUCCAAAUGAGAUGCAAUAAAAGACAAAUACACUGAUACAAACUACCCUCACGGCUUAUCACUUACUGUUCUGCUUUUUUAUUUGUUAUCAGCAUGAAUUCUUAGAAAAUAUGUUUGUGGCAUGACAAUUUCAGUUAACAAAUAAGACAAAAUUACAAUACAAGAUAUUAUAAACAUCAGAAAAUAAUAUAUAUGUUGUGUGGACCCAGUAUUCCUUUAACAUGAAGUGAAAUGAGGACCAACAGGUUUCACUUAUGUAUGUUUCUAUACAAAAUUAAACAAAGCAAAAUGUCUACAUUGUGCAACAUAGGAUUAAAAUAGGGUUUUGUCUUUUCUUUGUUUACAUAAUUAAAGUUUCAGAGUUAUAUAAGUUAGGUAUUUCAGAAACAGACAAACAAACGUGAUUUUUAGAAAAGGUGACAAGGAAACUCAAAUUCAAACACUUUGUCAUGUUUUUAGCCCUUUGUGACUCAUCCACAAGGAUUUCCUACAUCCUCUAAAUGAACUGAUAAUGGCUGAUUGAACAGGCCACAGAUCCAGAGCCAGGAACAUGUGCAGCAUUCCUGGAUUUAGAUUUGCCUGACAAACUCCGAUCAAAAUUCCAGGGCUGGUAUGUAUAACACUGCUCAGAGUGAAAUGUUGGGUCUUAAAUGUGUCAAAAAUUACAGUAAUUUUGUUCUUAUUCUUACACUUAAGAAUAAGUGCCAUGUAUAAAUAAUAUGAAGUGUUAAUACUUGGUUUAAUAAUGAUUCCAGACAGCUCCAGAUGUCUGCUACAUUAGUUAGGAGUGACCAGCAGAGGCAGUGGCUACACACUUUCCAUAUUUUGGAAAUGUAGGAUGAUCAUUAAUAAAAGAUACAUCUGUUCUAAUACCCACACUUAUACAACAUGUAAUGACAUGGUGGUAAUGAUGUGCUGUUUGUUUUGGGGAAAAAAAUAAACUAUUAAACGUUUACUUAAUUCACAUACAAACAUUUCAUGGUGCCUCCACACAUAAGAUGUCUUAAAAUGGUUAUUAUAUUCUUCAUGAAACUCAUUUAGGAUUUUUAAAAUACCCCAAAACAGCACUUAUUAACAUUGUCAUUAUGCUGUUGGGGAAAUCUUCUAUAAGCUUUCUUCUUGCAUGCUGCAAUAUAUUUGGCGUAUACAUAAUGUUGGACACAACGGGGUAGGCUUAAGUACGACAAGGUGUGCAUGAAGCAUGACGCUGUGAUGCAGCAAUGACACAUAACCUUUGGAGGUGCGCUAUUAGCUGAAGUGCUUUAGGAAGUGCAUUUUGGGCAGACAUGAUUGUAGUCCUUAAUUGACAACACUUCAGUCUGCACUCAGGAC